GCCGCAGUGCUGGAAUUGGUAGACAGGCACGGCUUAGAACCGUGUGUCCUUGGGCGUGGAGGUUCGACUCCUCUCUGCGGCA
rnacentral:tRNA from 1 species